UACGUAGGGUGCAAGCGUUAUCCGGAAUUAUUGGGCGUAAAGAGCUCGUAGGCGGUUUGUCGCGUCUGCUGUGAAAACUGGGGGCUCAACCCCCAGCCUGCAGUGGGUACGGGCAGACUAGAGUGCGGUAGGGGAGAUUGGAAUUCCUGGUGUAGCGGUGGAAUGCGCAGAUAUCAGGAGGAACACCAAUGGCGAAGGCAGCACUCUGGGACGUGACUGACGCUGAGACGCGAAAGCGUGGGGAGCAAACAGG
rnacentral:rRNA from 1 species